UGGAGAUGUGACAGUUCUCUUCCUGGCUGCGUGGCUGACAUUCCUGAAUUCUUCUACAAGGACGGGGAAACCAGAACCCUGAAUGUUCACAACAGGUUCUCCACAGCCUGGCUCCAGCACACUCCUGACCUGGAAGAAAGGCUUAUGGGAAACCCCUGGUUACCAGAAUGACAACUUUUGAGAGUUAGAAGGGUCCUUAUUGGCCAUCAAGUCCAACCCAAACCCAAAAUGGAAUUCCUACUAUCACAAGCAAUUAUCCAACUUCUGCAUGAAGACCUCCAAGAAGGGAGAACCCACCACCUCUCAGGCAGCCUAUUCCACUACUGGACAACUCUCUGUUGUUAGAAAGGUUUCCUGUAAACAAGCCUCAAUUUGCGUCUUUGUAACAGCCUAACAGUGCUCCUGAUUCUGCCCUCUGGGAACAAACAGAACAAGCUUAAUCCCUCUUUCACACAACAACCCUGCAAAUAUUUGAGGAACACAGCUUUUGUGCUCCCCCACAGUGUUCUCUUCUCCAAGCUAAACACCCACUGUUGUUUGUUUUUUCAACUGACCUUGAUGUGUCAUAGAUUCAUGCAGUGUUUUUAACCAGUUUGCCUUUCAUCCAGCAGACACUGUCCUGGUUAUCAAUGUCUUCCUUAAGUUGUAGCACCAAGGGGC